UAAUCUUCAUUAUUAAAACUGAAUUUCCACAAAAUAUCAAGAGAAGAAAUCUGUGACUUCUUUUUACUGAAAAAAAAGAGAAAAAUGGAUGUUCGUGACGAAAUUGACAUGAACAAGCUUCAAAAUCCACCGAAAAGCAAAAAAAAAACGAAGAUGCCGAAAGAAAAAAAGGAAACGACUGGAAGAUCUAGUGAAGAGCAAAAAAUCGGGAAUGCAAAGCAACCAGACAUGAAGGAAACUGGAAAAUACGAAAUUGAGAAGGAAAUUGAAGCUGAAAAGCAAAUAGACACAUUCCAGUAAGUAAUUUUUAUGUUUUUGAAUAUCUAUUUCUAUUUAAUUUGCGAAUGUGCCGUUUUUGACAUUUGAUACAAUACAAAUACAAAUUAAUGAUACAUUGUUCAUAUUCAUAGAGAUUUAACAAUAAUCUUAUUGAUGAUUAAAAUUUGGAUUGGGAAUGUCAAUUAAUUUAAAUAUUAUUAUAAUAAUGUAAAUGUGAUGAACUUUUGUUGAGUUUUUCUAAUCUUAUGUUAGAUGUUCAAUUUAUGUGUAAAAUGUUCAUAUUGUUUAAGCUAGAUAUUCAUUUUG